rnacentral:rRNA from 1 species
GACAGAGGGUGCAAACGUUGUUCGGAAUUACUGGGCGUAAAGCGCGUGUAGGCGGCUAUGUAAGUCGGGCGUGAAAUCCCACGGCUCAACCGUGGAAGUGCACCCGAAACUGCGUAGCUAGAGUCCUGGAGAGGAAGGUGGAAUGCUUGGUGUAGAGGUGAAAUUCGUAGAUAUCAAGCGGAACACCGGUGGCGAAGGCGACUACCUGGCCUGUUCUUGACGCUGAGGCGCGAAAGCGUGGGGAGCAAACAGG